rnacentral:rRNA from 1 species
CGGCACGCCUAACACAUGCAAGUCGAACGAAGUAGCAAUACUUAGUGGCAGACGGGUGAGUAACAUGUAGGUAUCUGCCCUUUGGCCUGGAAUAACACGAGGAAACUUGUGCUAAUACUGGAUAAGUCUUUACGGAGAAAGCUUUAUGCACCAUUGGAUGAGCCUGCACUUGAUUAGUUUGUUGGUAGGGUAAUGGCCUACCAAGACUGUGAUCAAUAGCUGAUUUGAGAGGAUGAUCAGCCACAUUGGGACUGAGACACGGCCCAAACUCCUACGGGAGGCAGCAGUGGGGAAUCUUGCACAAUGGAGGAAACUCUGAUGCAGCGAUGCCGCGUGAGUGAAGAAGGCCUUUGGGUUGUAAAGCUCUUUCGUCGGGGAAGAAAAUGACUGUACCCGAAUAAGAAGGUCCGGCUAACUUCGUGCCAGCAGCCGCGGUAAUACGAAGGGACCUAGCGUAGUUCGGAAUUACUGGGCUUAAAGAGUUCGUAGGUGGUUGAAAAAGUUGGUGGUGAAAUCCCAGAGCUUAACUCUGGAACUGCCAUCAAAACUUUUCAGCUAGAGUAUGAUAGAGGAAAGCAGAAUUUCUAGUGUAGAGGUGAAAUUCGUAGAUAUUAGAAAGAAUACCAAUUGCGAAGGCAGCUUUCUGGAUCAUUACUGACACUGAGGAACGAAAGCAUGGGUAGCGAAGAGGAUUAGAUACCCUCGUAGUCCAUGCCGUAAACGAUGUGUGUUAGACGUUGGAAAUUUAUUUUCAGUGUCGCAGCGAAAGCGAUAAACACACCGCCUGGGGAGUACGAC